GUCACUGGAAGGAGCAAUUGUGGUGGGGAGGGGUCGGCUGCCAGAGAGACCUCCCAAAGAUCAAUCAGUAAGGUGGAUGAGGAGUGACUGGAGCUGGCAGUGUGCAGGCAUGAUGUCUUGCUGGCUGCCCUUAAUAUGUUUGUACAUGCUAAAGCGCAUGACUUCAAAUGUGAGGUUAGUAUAAUACAGUACAUUUUAUCAAAUGACUUGCAAUCCUAUGAAUGAUGCAUAUAAAUGUGUAAUGUUUAACUAUCACUUAACAGAUUAUUUAACAUUUGUAUUGUUAUAGUUGUUGAUGUGAACACCCCUUAAUUGACACAUGUACUUUUGUCAAGGAUAUUAUUUUGCACCUGUAUGUUUGUUGGUAAGCAAGAUUACUCAUGAGGUUUACCACUAAUGUACACACAACUUGGUGGAAGGGUGACAGUUUGAUUUUUGAUUAGGUUUUAAUUGAAAUAAAAGUGACUGUUGGGCAUUGCUUGAGGUCUCUGCUGUACUAAAUUCCCUUGAUGUUUAUGUUUGGGUCCCUCUCUCCAGGUGAAAUGGAGUGGCACAAACCAAGAAGGUGCUGGUAAAACACUAGGGGAGGAAGUAGAGCAAUGUAAAGCUUCCCUCUCCAGGAUAUCAGUCACCACAAAGCAUAUGUCAGAAGCAGGUGCUGUAUAAUUGUACCUCUGUAUACAGAAUAAAAGACAUUUAUAUUAUUACAAGUGAAUCUUUACAGAACUCAUCUCUGUGUACUUGCAGGACGCAAUGACAUGCUGACACUCCUGGCCAUAAGAUGGAACCAGCAGAAAUGUCCAAACCUGGCUACUGGACUUUCCCAGAGAUACCAUAAGACCGCAACAAAGGCCGACAUAGAAUUCGCAGAAAAAUAAGGCAACAGAAGACCACUUUGAAGGCCAUGGUAGCGGAGUACAACAGUCUCGUUGCAUGGAUAGCGUUCUGGACACAGAAUAUUCCUGGCCUUGGCAAAUUACACAGAGUGGAAUGCAUUUCAUGUACUGCUCUGCUGAUUUCAGCACAAAGAAAGAAGUCUUCGAUAGGGUCAUGGGUGUUCGAAGGCUUCAAGAGGAGAAGAAGAUCCUUGUGAAAGAAAUGAAGCAGCACUGGGAGUCUCUCAAAGCCCAUGCCAGGGUCUUGUCCGAGUUGUCUCAGCAUCAGAGUGAAGACGCCAUGCAAAGACAUCUCACAGAGAAAGCAACAAAGGGUCACACCUGCCUCAUCCUCAGAAGGCAGUGGGAAAUGAGAGAGCUGAAGCGGCAUACAAGAAAACACUACCUGCAUGUGCUGUCAUCAGCAGAUGACAUAAUGGACACAAUGGACAGUUCAGAUGAGUUCGACAUUAGCUGUGAAGAUUCAGAGUCUGAUGCAAUGUAAAACAGGAAGAUGUGGUGCUCAUGAUCACAGUGCACCGUGUGCGACACAUGGUCACACAGAGCAUGUGGCUUUAAAAAAGCCACAUGCUCUUAAAAACUAACGUAUGUGCUCAUUGUCAGGAUUAAGUUGGAGAUGACAGUUGUAGUUGUAUUAGGUUGUUGUUAUUUCUGCAUUUGGUUUUGAAAUGUUUAAUCACUUAUAUAAGGUUUGAUUUUUCUACUGGGUUGUGGGAAGUUCCUGGUUAAUGUUGUCUUACAUCUUUACAACACAAACCACUGUCCUUUACUGUCUUAUCUUUGAUUCACGUUCAGUUCUGCAUCUUUUCAGGGAUUUUCUUUCCAGUUGAUCUUUACUGUUUGAUUAAUAAUUGUUCUUUAAUGUUUAAUUAAACAAAGGCACAAUAAAGCUACAUUUCUGAUUGAGUCCUUGGAUGUUACUACUGUUUUAGGUUAGACUUAUUUUAUCUGAGCAAUUCCCACAUGCUUUCAGAGUACAUGAAUUCACUAUAUGGCAAGAGGAGAGAUUCAGAGG
rnacentral:lncRNA from 1 species